rnacentral:rRNA from 1 species
ACGGGUGCGUAACGCGUAUGCAACCUACCUCAAUCAGGGGGAUAGCCCGAAGAAAUUCGGAUUAACACCGCAUAAAAACACAGGAUAGCAUUAUCUAAUGUUCAAAUAUUUAUAGGAUUGAGAUGGGCAUGCGUGUCAUUAGCUAGUUGGCGGGGUAACGGCCCACCAAGGCGACGAUGACUAGGGGAUCUGAGAGGAUGACCCCCCACACUGGUACUGAGACACGGACCAGACUCCUACGGGAGGCAGCAGUAAGGAAUAUUGGUCAAUGGAGGCAACUCUGAACCAGCCAUGCCGCGUGCAGGAAGACAGCCCUCUGGGUCGUAAACUGCUUUUAUUCGGGAAUAAACCUUAUUACGUGUAAUAAGCUGAAUGUACCGAAGGAAUAAGGAUCGGCUAACUCCGUGCCAGCAGCCGCGGUAAUACGGAGGAUCCAAGCGUUAUCCGGAUUUAUUGGGUUUAAAGGGUGCGUAGGCGGCUUAUUAAGUCAGGGGUGAAAGACGGUGGCUCAACCAUCGCAGUGCCUUUGAUACUGAUGAGCUUGAAUGAACUAGAGGUAGGCGGAAUGUGACAAGUAGCGGUGA